ensembl:snoRNA SNORD31 Small nucleolar RNA SNORD31
AACACCAGUGAUGAACUGAGUACUGCCCCAAUCUGAUCAUGUGACAGGAAGGUAUUCUCAGAGUUGUG